AAAAGAACUAUUUUGCCUUCCUCUAUCCAGAAUGGAACAUUUCAAUCUCUCUCUAUGAUGAUGACGAUGAAGGCCGAAUCAAUUGCUAGGGUUACCAGGAUCAUCUCAGCUCUUUUCUUCGGUUGUGUAUCUGAAAUCAAAGCCCAGUCCUGCCUAGUUUCUUUCGCUUCUCUCUCUUUCAGCGGCCGUAACACCGUAUACAGUAUCCCAUACGGCGACGUGUUGGCGCCGCCCUAUUUCAACCACAACAAUGGCGUCUCUCAUCCCUGGCAUCCUCUCCAAACUUCUCCAAAAUCUCAGCAACACUGUCGCGGGAGGGUAUUGAGAAGAAAGUAGGUGUGAAAGAAGAGAUUGAGGGUUCGGAGAGCCUUCGAUCUUCAGAGCCAUUGAUUAGCCCCCAAUCACACAGUGGGUUGAAUAUAAAACCUGAUUUGGGGUUUUUUGAGAAGGUCUCUGUACAAAAAGUAAGAUUUUAUGGAUGGGUUUGAUAAGUUUAAGAUUGUAGAGAGAUGGGUUAGAGAGAGAAUGUCCUCAUUCGUUGCAAAAGUAGCAAUCUUCGAGAGUCAUGGCAACAAUGGCCGUGAUGGCUUCUCUUCAGAGCUCCUUCACUUCUUUUUCUCUCUCCUCAAAUUGCUUCUUGUGCCAAUGCAUCUUGUCCCCCUCCCUGGAAUGGGCAUACUUUCUUAACGAAUGGUCUAAAGUGAAUAUUUCAUAGUGUCAAAUCCCCAAGUUCUGCCCCUUUGUCCCUUGUAAUAGCCCAAGGUAGAGAAAGCCUUGUUGAGUGGAUAGAGGACCCAUUGUAUCCUAAUACAACUUUGUCUUGGAACAUUAUUCACGGUAUUAAGGGGGGAAAUCGUAUCAUCCAACGGGAAGUUUUGUGGUCUACAUUGUAUUAUAUUGCUGUGGGAAAUUUGAACUCUGAGGAGGUGGAGGAAGCCAUUGCGUUUGGUCGAUCUUUUGCAUCCAUAAAAGGAUACCAUCUUGACGGAAACAAGGAAAUGUAGGCCAUGGGCUUCAUGAACAUUGCAGGAUCUUUAACUUCAUGCUAUGCUGCCACUGGUAAGUCUUUUGCUUUUGUUUUGUUUCUGUUUUGUUUCUUCUCUUUCUUGUUUGUAUUGCCUAAGUCACUAAAUCAAAUUGCAUUCCACUACCAAGAUAAAUAAUUAUUACUAGAAUUUAUUCAAAAGAUAAGCUUGCAAAUUAAGUUUAUUACUUUAUUUGGUCACUUAGCUUAGUUUGUUCAUAUUUUUAGCUGUCACUAAUUAAAGAUAUGCCCACCAUACAGAGAAUAUAUAAAGAAAAGGGAGGUCAUUGAGAUGUAGUAUAGCUAAUGUAUACAUUUUAUAGAGUUUUUUUUUUUUUUUUUUCCUUCUAUAUUUUAUAUUUUUGAAAAUAUGUGAUAUGCAGUUUCUGGUUAUAGUUUAUAAGAUACAAAGAUUUUAAAUAAGCUGAAAAAAUUGAAUUAUUGAGCAAUAGGGAAGGGUGCUUCUAGUUUCUAUUUUAUGUUAUCAGCUUUUGGCUUGAAAUACACCAAAUAGCCACAUUAUUAUUUUACCAACUGCAAUAGUAGCUUGUAGCAACAUCAAAAGUUUUUUUGUAAGAAAUUUUUUUUUAUUCAUUUUAAUUCAUAGGUAGUCUGUAGUUUCAUUUUGUAAACCCAUAUUGCGUUUGGACCCAAAAUAGUUUUCUGUGAGGGAAAGGUAGAAAAAAUUGAUUUAUGAUUUUUCUACUUAAUUUCAUUGGGUUUGGUCCCAAAAUUGUUUCCUGUGAGGGAAAUGAUAGGGAAAAUUGUUUUCUGUGAGGGAAAACAAAAUUGUUUUUACUUCCUGUAUGAUCCAAAGGCUUAGUCAUGGAAUUCUUUGGUGCUUCAGUUUAUUACUUUCCUGUGUGCUUCAAUUUAUUACAUGAGUUUAUGUAUCUUUCCCUCUUCAUCUAUUAUUUUUUUAUUUUUUAUAAAAUAAGUAAAAAAAAAUUAAUUUUCAUGACACACCCAUCCAAUGAUCUCUAAUAUAUAAACGAAGAAUAUCAGUUGGUGUUACCCUAUUUUGACAUUGUGUUGAUUUUAGUUUAUUCCAAAAAUAUUAGAUUAGGUAUAUAUAUUAUUAAAAAAAAAUUAUUUAUGUUAAGUUGCGACUAAGUACUCAGGUAGAAUUACAUCACAUUGUCCCCAAAAGCGCUUAAAGCUACUAA